GUGGUGCAGUGAUGUAGAAACAGCUUUUCGGUGGGCUUGUUCGUAACCCGCCGAGGACGGUCACCGAAUUCCUCACAGAAGCCGUUGCUAUGGAAA
rnacentral:lncRNA from 1 species